rnacentral:rRNA from 1 species
AUAUAACUAAGCGGAGGAAAAGAAACUAACAAGGAUUCCCUCAGUAACGGCGAGUGAAGCGGGAUGAGCUCAGACUGAAAAUCUUCGGAAUUGUAGUCUGGAGACGCGAAGUCAUUUUUAUGCCCGGGCAAAGUCUCCUGCGAAUGGAGCGCCGUGGAGGGUGAGAGCCCCGUUCAUGCCUGGUGCAGAGAUUGUACGACUAGCGUUCUACGAGUCGAGUUGUUUGGGAUUGCAGCUCUAAGUGGGUGGUAAAUUCCAUCUAAAGCUAAAUAUUGGUGGGAGACCGAUAGCGCACAAGUA